rnacentral:misc_RNA from 1 species
UAUGUAUCUGUCAACAUACACAUUUUUAAUCAUUUUCAUGAUUUCAAGAGAUUUGAUUCUCUCACCAAUUGUUUAUUCUAACUUUUAUUGUAGAAUGGUGGAUAGUUUCAGAAAAUAAUAGUUUUUGCAUACCUUUGUAGGAAAUAUAGUGCAUUUUGCUCCAGUUUGUUUUGUUAACGUAUGCUGAUAUUUACGUUGCUUUUUUUUACUCGGGGAUGAUAGACCUUCUGGACGUUUUUGAAUAAUAUUUUCAGCCAGUUCCAUUGCAAUAACCACAACGGUAAUGUUUAUCAAAUUUGUGAAAAUGCUGCCUACCCGAUAUUUCACGAAAAAAUAAUUCAAAACGGCUAUUGAGCUACAAUUUUACCGAUAGAAGAGCAAACGUGUGCAUGUGUGCAUUUAUGAACAUUUAAGAAAAUGGCUGAUACGUUAAAUUCGGAAAUUUGGAAAAACUGGGAUAAAACUGGAAAGACUGAAUUUACAAAAACGUGUGUGCAACUAUUAAAAGAUGAAAAAUGUAGUCCUACAUUUGAUAAAAAGGGGAAAUUCAGUAAUCUUUCUGGAUAUAUCAAUGCCCUUAUAUCAAAUGGAAUCAAAGGAGUAAUUAAAAGGGAAACCGUGAUAACUAUAUUACAAGAACUUAUUACUCUUCAUAGCGAUGUACCUUCAUUAAUAUUAGAUAUUUUAAAUGUAAGUGAUGCGGAAACAUCUGUGUUUGAUGGACAAAAGGAAGAAUCUAAAGAACGUCAGAAUUUCUGUUACUUAGUUAAAGAAUGUGAAAAGUUUUUAUCAGACAAGCUGUUAAAAGAAAGGCUUGAAAUUGAUACCUUACAGGAAGUGGGUAUCCUAAAAAAUAGAAGCUUUUAUACAAAAUUUAUCAAGGUCAAAACAAAACUAUAUUAUAAGCAGCGAAAAUUUAACUUGUUUAGAGAAGAGAGUGAAGGCUUUGCUAAACUAAUAACGGAGUUAAAUCAAGAAUUCAGCCAGAAAACAUCACAUACACAGUUAUUAGAUAUAGUAAAAUCAUUAAUUGGCUGUUUCAACUUAGAUCCCAACAGGGUGUUAGAUGUAAUUCUAGAAAGUUUUGAAAACAAGCCUGAGGAUUCAAAGAUAUUUAUUCCUCUUGUUAAAUCAUACAUGAAUGACCCAAAAAUAAUUGCUGAAGUCUUGGGUUCAAAAUACACGUUUUAUCAAACUUCGGGAGAUUCUACAGUUCCUAAAGCACUAUACAUACUGACAGCUCAACUGUUACAACAUAACUUGGUAUACUUAGAUGACAUAUAUGUCUGGUUAACUCCUGAAGACAGGAUUAUGCACAAAGAAUGGGAAACGGACAUGCGUGCUGCUAAAGAGUAUGUAAGAAAAUUGCAGGUAAUAUCAUUAAACGCCAAAGAAAAGGAAGAUACUCCCGACGAAAAAGAAAAUUCUAUUGAUAAAUAUUCAAAUAAUCAGAAAUUAUGUCUUUGCGAAGCCCUGCUGGAAAUAGGAGAUUGGAACAAUGCCGCCCUCAUAAUAAGACGCUUACCUGAACAUUAUGCCCUGGAAUAUCAACCUGUCGCAAAAGCGUUAUGUAAUCUCUUAAAUUAUAUUAUCGAACCGGUGUACAGAGAAAAUUGUAAGUUGGGUAACAAGAUAAAAGGUAGACCCAUACAUCCACCAAAGACCCUUUCAAACUUGAAACUCGUCACCACUUUUCAAGAACUAGCUGACGUAGCAUUCCCGAUGUUAGUAACUCUAGGCCCUUCUUUGCGUUUCGAUUCGGUUCUUAUGUACAAAAUAAUUCGUGUGUGUCGUGCGGUAUUGGCAUCAUAUGGGAUUGAUAACGCCCACUGUUCACCUCCAGAAGGUGCUACCCUUUAUCACGAUAUUAUAACUCUCCUCGAUUCAACCGUAUUACCUGCAUUAUCGUACCUUGAUUGUAAUUGUUGCGUUGCUGAAGAAAUAUGGAACAUAUUGAAAUUGUAUCCAUACACAAUUCGAUAUUGCCUGUACAGUCGAUGGAAAAAUGAGACUUACGCCCUGUAUCCGGAAUUGUUAAGGAAACGAGGUGAUGCUGAGAAACAGAUCAAGAACAUCAUGAAACGGGUUAGCAAAGAAAAUGUAAAACCCGUGGGAAGGCAUAUCGGGAAAUUAACGCACAGUUCGCCGGGUUUCCUCUUUGAUUACGUUCUUUUACAAAUACAAGUCUACGAUAAUUUAAUACAUCCCGUUGUCGAUUCUUUAAAAUACUUGACCAGCCUCUCAUAUGACGUGUUGGGCUUCUGUUUGAUAGAGUCAUUAUCAAACGCAGACAAAAAGAGAGUUAAGCACGAUAGCACAUCUAUAUCAAAUUGGCUGCAGUCAUUGUCUAGUUUUUGUGGUGCUGUGUUCAAGAAAUACAAUAUAGAACUGACGGGACUGUUGCAAUAUGUAGCUAAUCAACUAAAAGCACAAAAAAGCUUGGAUCUGCUUAUAUUAAAAGAAAUCGUACAGAAGAUGGCGGGUGUCGAAGCGGCAGAAGAUUUAACUAUAGAUCAGCUCAAUGCUAUGGCCGGUGGAGAAUUACUGAAAGCGGAGGCCGGCAAUUUUAGUCAAGUUCGUAAUACCAAAAAAUCAUCUUUGCGUUUAAAGGAAGCAAUGUCUGAUCAAAAUCUCGCAGUCGCAUUGUGUUUAUUGAUGGCGCAACAGAAAUACUGUAUUGUAUACAAAGAGACACAAAAGAGUCACUUGAAAUUAGUCGGCAAAUUGUCCGAUCAGUGUCAGGAUACUUUAGUUCAAUUUGGCACAUUUUUGGGUUCUACUUUAUCCGUGGACGAAUACGUCAACAAACUACCUUCUAUACAAAGUAUGCUUCUCGAUUAUCACAUACCUAACGAAGUGGCGUUUUUCCUGGCUAGACCGAUGUUUAAUCACGCCAUCAACAUAAAAUAUGAUCAAUUACGAAAAACAGAUGGUAACUAUAAAAAAUUUUCUACUCAAGCCAGACAUCAAAAGUACAUCGAAGCUGUGAAAGAAAUAAUGGAGCCGAUUCAUAAAUCGGUCAUUCCGUUACACCCAGCUAAGGUUUGGGAGGAUAUUUCUCCUCAGUUUCUCACCACUUUCUGGUCUCUUACCAUGUAUGAUCUAUAUGUUCCUGAAGAGACGUAUCAACAAGUAAUCAACAAGAUUAAGCAACAGUCACUAUCAAUUCUCGACAGUAAUACGACCAAAGGUAAAAAGGAACAAGAACGUUACAUAACGUUAAUGGAAAAGCUACAAGAGGAGAAGAAAAAGCAACAUGAGCAUGUAGAUAAAGUUUUACACAGACUGAUGCAAGAGAAGGACUCGUGGUUCUUGUCGAAGUCUGUUAAAUCAGCCAAAAACGAAACAAUUACUAGAUUCCUACAGUUAUGUUUAUUUCCUCGUUGUACAUUUACCGCAGUGGACGCUAUUUAUUGCGCCAAAUUUGUUCAUACGAUUCACAUGCUGAAGACUGCAAAUUUUUCAACUCUGCUGUGCUACGAUAGGUUAUUCUGCGACGUCACAUACUCCGUAACAUCCUGUACUGAGAACGAAGCAAUGAGAUACGGUCGAUUUUUGUACGCAAUGUUGGAGACAGUUAUGCACUGGCAUAAAUCGAAGGAAGUUUUUGAAAAAGAAUGCGCCAAUUAUCCCGGCUUUGUGACGAAAUUUCGUGUUAGUAAUCAAUAUUCUGACAACUUAGACAAGGUUUGUUACGAAAAUUUCCGACACGUGUGCCACAAGUGGCAUUUUAAGCUUGCAAAAGCACUUAUCAUAUGCCUUGAAUCUAAAGAUUAUGUACAAAUCCGAAAUGCUCUAAUCAUCUUGAUUAAGAUUAUUCCAUUCUUCCCCGUAUUGUCAAAACUUAGUCAAGUAAUUGAAAAGAAAAUGGAAAAAGUUCGAGACGAAGAAAAGAAUAAGCGGCAGGAUUUGUUUACUCUCGCUACGAGUUAUUUAGGUCAAUUGAAACAAAGAAUCGCUGGCGGACACAUGAUGAAGGAAAGCGACUUCCAUCAAAUUCCCGAAAAAGAAAAAGUAUCCAAAAGUCAUUCUGACGGUUCUAAAUCUGAAAAUAAGCACAACGGAGAAGUGAAAAUUAUAGAAACGGACGAUUCAAAAGAAAAUUCAUCCAGAAGUUCCAAGGACAGGUCAGAAAGUAAAAGAAAUCGCCCAAAUGUAGAAGAUAUUUCAAAAUCUUCAUCAAAACAACAAAUAUCAUCUGCUAAUAAUUCAGAAACUAAUUUGACAAAAGACAAAAAUUCAGAUAAAGAAAGGACUCCAAAAGAAGAUAGUAAAGAUAAGCAUUCCAGAAAAGAAGAAAAGAGAGACGAGAUGGAGAGGGAUCGUGAUAGAGGAGGAGACCGUGAAAAAGAUCGAGAUCGUGAAAAGCGUAAAGAAAGGAAAGAGGAAAAAAUAUCUAUUAAAGAUGAUAGGUCGUACAGGGAGGAUCGUUUUAUUGAAAUGGUCAGUCCAAAAGAGGAUAUUCGAUACUCGACUGAUGGAGAUCGAUAUUACGACGAUCGUGGAACUAGCCAUUAUUACCAUGAUAUCCGUGAGGACAGAGAAAUAGGUGUCAGUAAUUCAAAUAGUUCGAGUGUGAGGCAGAGCCAGGAGACAGUGGAACCCGACAGAGACGUUAAACGAAGAAAAAUGGACACCACAUCCUCGAAGGUUAGUAUUGGAGUGAGAUAGCAUCGCUGCAUCUUUUAGGGUCCCCUCCCCGUGUUCCUCUUCAACUUUCUACUACAUACACUAUCCGGCGUUGUUGAGAAAAAAAAUCAAAAAACCACCUUGGGAGAUUGGGCUGAACUGAGUCUCUUUAAAAAUAGAAAAUAAAAGCUUAGUCGUGUUUUAAAGGAAAAGUGCUUCAAAUGAUAAGAGACUUGGCUAAUGUGUUAUUGAACUGUCAUCGCGUUCUAAAUUUAUGUGCUUUUAUGUUGUUCAACCGCGCGCUUCUACGUUUUGUUUUCUUUUAUGUUAUCGCGAUAUUUUAUUUUUCUUCGUUUAUUUGUCGAAGAAGAUGGAAGAGUUUGGAAAUAUCAUCAUUCAUUGGUUGUUUCGGAUCUUAGAAAAAUCUUCAGCACAGUUAUUAAUUUUAAAAUCACCUUUAAAAAAUUGGGAUCCAAAUAUUAAUCAAAGAGAAUAAUCAUCAUCGUACUUGAAGUACAGUAAACGAUCGAUCCUACCCAUAAAUCAUUUAUGGAUCACAUUAAAAUUGCUACUACCUAUUUUGUGGAUUUGGAAUUUAAAAAAACUAAUAUAUCAUGUGGAAAAUGAAGGAUGGCACUGCUAUUAUAAAACAAGAAAUAUUUUUAAAACCAAAAUCUGUGGACUGACGGAACAGAUAUUUAUCAAAAGAUGAAAUAAAAUUGAAAAAUGGUAUUUGGAAUAAUGAAAAGAAUACAUUCCGUGCCCAUGCAGAUGCUUUGAAAUUGCAGCAUUGUAUUCCGGAUUUCGUUAUGAUAUAAUAUCCAAUAUUUUCCUGUUGCUGUUACCAAUUUCCAUUAUGACGCCAAAAGUUGCCAAUUUCCAUUAUAACGUCAAAUUAGAAAUUAAGGAGUGUUAUUGUAUAACUUGGAACGAGAAGGAAGUCAUGAUUAAAAGCCGUCCAACUUGUCCAUUCCGAGAAGUUUUUGAUGCGUUUAUCUUUCAUCUUGAGUCCAUUCAUCAGCAGAAAUGAUGGAACUAUGGAAGAAGAUUAGCUACCGAAGAUACCUCGAUUAUUGUGACGAAUCUCUGAAGAUAUAUGCGGGGUUUCGUGCGAUUUGUUUAAAAGACCAAUAGUGUUAAAAAGAUUAUCAGCCCAAUCUUCCACUUUUGUUUUGGUAUGGGGUGGGAUCAAAUGCAGAGCUCUAAGUAUGAAGAACGCAAAGUGCAACAGCAAUCGGCCGAUUAUUACAUUGACAAACCCGAUAAAAAGGAGCGAUCGUCUAA